rnacentral:lncRNA from 1 species
UUUAUUUGUUGUCCCUUUGUCAAAGACUGUAUUUUCUAUUGGGACAGAAUUGAUGUGUUCUCAAUUUAUAUAUUCUUCAUAUAUUCAGAAGAUAAUUUUUUACUUAGUGGUCCACUGAACAAGUUAUAUAUUUCAAGAAUAAAAGUCUCACAAAACUCUAGCAAAUUUAAUUCCUUCAAGACUAAAGACGGGAAAAACUAGGGUGUAUUAGAUUUUAUUGCAAUAGUUCUUAAAAGCAAAGAUUUUGAUCUAUCUCUAAUGCUAUACGAGAAGAAGAACCAGUAUCAAGAUACAUAAGAAAGAAGUGAAAACAAGAGUAAGGAGUUGAAUAUAUAUGUAUAGGAGUAUAUGUUUUAUUAAGCUAAAACCUUUUAAAACCAUCAUAUCCUAACACAAAUAAUUUAGAAUUAAAAUUGCUUCUUGGUAUGACAUUCACAUAGGAGAUUUAUAUUUGUUUAAGGAUACCAAACAGCCAAAUUAGACUUGAAGGGAUUUAUGCCUAAGUCUGAAGUUAUUUAGGACAUAAUAAAUUAAUAACUACAUACCGACACAUAAUCAUGUUAUAGGUCAGGAAGAUAGACUUUCUACUUCGGACAAUUUUCUCUAUGUCAGGAGGAGAACUGUGCUAGAAAUGGCGAUGGUUGAUGUCUUUGUCUUUCUAACUAUAUGGUUUCAAAACUUGUUUUAAAGCAUGGUAGUCUUCAUCAUUGUUGUAGCUAACUCCUACAGGAAAAUAUGAGCAAACUUAGGUAUAAUACAAAAAUAAAUAUAGGCUGUAAUAGUGAAUUUUAGGUUUCAACUGACUAGAUGCCCAAAUACCUGGUUAAACAUUAUUUCUGGGUCUGUGAGGGUGUUUCUGGAGGAGAUUAGCAUUUGAGAUGAGGAACUAAACAAUGUAGUUGGUCCUCACCAGUGUGGCUGGGCAUCAUCCAAUACACUGAGGGCCUAAAUAGAAGAGAAAGUGGGAGGAAGGGAGGAAUCACACUCUUGCCUGACUGCGUGAGUGGGGAUGACCACCUUCUGCUUCUGGCACUCUUAGUGAGAGGUGAAGCUGCUGGGCUUCUGGGUCGGGUUGGGACUUGGAGAACUUUUCUGUCUAGCUAAAGGAUUCUAAACAGAUCAGUCAGCACUCUGUGUCCAGCUAAAGGUUUGUAAAUGCACCAAUCAGCACUCUGUGAAAAUGCACCAAUGAAUGCUCUGUGUCUAGCUAAAGGUUUGUAAACGCACCAAUCAGCACUCUGUAAAAACGCACUAAUCAGUGCUCUGUGUCUAGCUAAAGGUUUGUAAAUGCGUCAGUCAGCACUCUGUAAAAAGGGACCAAUCAGCACUCUGUGAAAUGGACCAAUCAUUGCUCUGUAAAAUGGACCAAUCAGCAGGACAUGGGCGGGGCCAAAUAAGGGAAUAAAAGCUGGCAACCCAAGCCUGCGCUGGCAACCUACUCGGGUUCCCUUCCAUGGUGUGGAAGCUUAGUUCUUUUGCUAUUCACAGUAAAUCUUGCUGUUCCUCGCUCUUUGGGUCCGCACUACCUUUCUGAGCUGUAACACUCACUGCGAAGGUCUGAGGCUUCACUCCUGAAGUUAGCAAGACCGCAAACCCACCAGGAGGAACAAACGAUUCUGGACGUGCCACCUUUAAGAGCUGUAACACUCACUGCCAAGGUCUGCGGCUUCACUCCUGAAGUCAAGUGAGACCACGAACCCACCGGAAGGAAGAAACUCCAGACACAUCUGAACAUCUGAAGGAAAAAACUCUGGACAAACCAUCUUUAAGAACUGUAACACUCACUGCGAAGGUCUGAGGCUUCACUCCUGAAGUCAGCAAGACCACGAACCCACCAGGAGCAACAAAUGACUCUGGACGCACCACCUUUUAAGAGCUGUAACACUCACUGCCAAGGUCCCUGGCUUCAUUCUUGAAGUCAGUGAGACCAAGAACCCACUGGAAGGAACUAAUUCUAGACAUGCUAGUUCCCAGAUCCUGUUUCUCUGGAGAGGCCUAACUAAUACAUAGACAAAGCCAAAUGACUUUUUCCCCUCUCUGAACUUUGAUAUUCUUUAAACAUUUCCAGCUAGUUCUUUUAAUAUUUCUUGAGGAUUUCCUGGGAUUUUUUUUUUGGUAAAUACUGUAUUUCACCAGCUACUCCUUCAAGAACAUAGUCGUCAUAUGCUUUAUUAUCCAUGAAGAUUAUUAGUGAACCCACAGUUCGUUUGUCAAAAUGACUCUAAAUUCGUGAUAUUCAGAUGAUCACACUCCAUAAUACUGCCACCAGAGCCAAGUUAUUGGAGUUACUACUUUUUAUGAUCAGCACAAUUAUUUUUCUAUGAAAGAAUUGUUGGUAUUAAAAGGGCCACAGUAGACUAUUUGCUAUUGAAUGAUUGUUGGUUAGUACUUAAUUAAAACAAAAAUGUUUUUUAUAGCUACUUAACUCCAAGUUCCAUCUUUUCCAUCUCUAGAAGUACAUAAGCCUUUUCGUUGAAAUAACACAUUUUUCUGAAGUAGAACAUGAUUAUUGUUAAGAAAUAUAAAAAUGGCCUUUAAUCUCACCAUUUAAGAUAGAAAGCUUUUCAUUUUUUCUAUGAACAUAUGUUUUAGAAAUUUAUAUGACAAAAUAUAUGACGUGAUAUAUUUCUGUUUUAUUCUUAAGUAAUAUUGGACUAUUGGGCUAUAUUAUCAUAAGUUUUUCUUUUCUUUUCUUUUCUUUUUUUUUAUUUUUGAGACAGUUUCACUCUUUUUGCCCAGGCUGGAGUGCAAUGGCACAAUCUGGGCUCACUGCACCCUCCGCCUCCUUCCUGCCUCAGGCUGCCAUGUAGCUGGGAUUAUAGGUACCUGCCACCACGCCCAGCUAAUCUUUGGUAUUUUUCAUAGAGACAGGGUUUCACAGUGUUGGCCAGGAUGAUCUCGAUCUCUUGACCUCGUGAUCCACCUGCCCUAGUCUCCCUAAGUGCUGGGAUUACAGGCGUGAGCCACCGUGCCCGGCCUAUCAUAAGUUUUUCGAAAACGGUUGUUUGUGGCUAAAUAAUAGUUCUGACAUAUUAAUACUAGCUUUUCACCAUUAUUAUAUGUAUGAUAAAUAGUAACAAAACAAAAUGACUGAAUUUUCCUGUGCUUGUAUUGUUAUCAUUAUUGUGGAUUUAAUCGUUUGCCAAAAAUUUUCAAAUUAUUGCUGGCUCGUAAGGAAAUUAAGAGAACUCUUGAUAGUGUAUAUUUAUUUUGUGACUAGCCACUUUAAUUAGUGAUCCUAAUGAUUUUUUAUUUUCCAGUUGAUUCUCCCGUGCCUCGGGAAAAAAUAAAAUAAUUUAC